GUAUUUUUAUAUUGUGUUUAUUUUUUAAUAAAGCGCACUAGAAAUGGCAAAAGAAAGUGCAAAGGAGCUGCCUGCCUGGGUAGCGACCACCUGCAG